AUUGAACGCUGGCGGCAGGCCUAACACAUGCAAGUCGAGCGAGAAAGGUCUUCGGACUGAGUACAGCGGCGGACGGGUGAGUAAAGCGUAGGAAUCUACCUGGUAGUGGGGGAUAACUUGGGGAAACUCAAACUAAUACCGCAUACGCCCUACGGGGAAAGCGGGGGACCUUCGGGCCUCGCGCUAUCAGAUGAGCCUGUGUAGGAUUAGCUAGUUGGUGAGGUAAAGGCUCACCAAGGCGACGAUCCUUAGCUGGUCUGAGAGGAUGAUCAACCACACUGGGACUGAGACACGGCCCAGACUCCUACGGGAGGCAGCAGUGGGGAAUAUUGCGCAAUGGGCGAAAGCCUGACGCAGCCAUGCCGCGUGUGUGAAGAAGGCCUUAGGGUUGUAAAGCACUUUCAAUUGGGAAGAAAAGUUGGUCGUUAAUAGCGGCCAGCCCUGACAUUACCUUUAGAAGAAGGACCGGCUAACUCCGUG
rnacentral:rRNA from 1 species